GACGAACGCUGGCGGCGUGCUUAACACAUGCAAGUCGAACGGAAAGGCCCUGCUUUUGUGGGGUUCUCGAGUGGCGAACGGGUGAGUAACACGUGAGUAACCUGCCCUUGACUUUGGGAUAACUUCAGGAAACUGGGGCUAAUACCGGAUAGGAGCUCCUGCUGCAUGGGGGGGGUUGGAAAGUUUCGGCGGUUGGGGAUGGACUCGCGGGUUAUCAGCUUGUUGGUGGGGUAGUGGCUUACCAAGGCUUUGACGGGUAGCCGGCCUGGGAGGGUGACCGGCCACAUUGGGACUGAGAUACGGACCAGACUCCUACGGGAGGCAGCAGUGGGGAAUAUUGCACAAUGGGCGGAAGCCUGAUGCAGCAACGCCGCGUGCGGGAUGACGGCCUUCGGGUUGUAAACCGCUUUCGCCUGUGACGAAGCGUGAGUGACGGUAAUGGGUAAAGAAGCACCGGCUAACUACGUG
rnacentral:rRNA from 1 species